UGGACUCGGCAGGGACUUGGUUCCCCCCCCCCCUCAAAUCUCUUGCCUCCCUCCAGGUCACCUCGCCUCGUUAUUUGCCCCGUAACGGGGGGCGAGAGGAAAUCGAGGGGCGUCCAGGGAAAAACAACCGCAAAACUUUUUGCUUCGUUCUCUCUCCUGAAUCCCCACUUCCGGGGCUAUUCUGUCUCGGGUUUCCUUCCUCGGCUUCUUAUGCCAUUAUAACAAACGUGACAUACCGGACAUCCAAUACAAUUAAAAGGGAAGUUACUUCUCUUUGGAGGAAAAGAAAACUGAGUUACCUCCAUGGAAGACACUCAGGAUUUAAAUGAACAGUCAGUGAAGAAAGCGUGCACAGAUUCGGAUGUUUCAGAACCUCAGAAUUCCAGAUCUAUGGAAAUGCAGGAUCUAGCAAGCCCUCAUAAUCUUGUGGGAAGCAGUGAAACACCUGGUAGUUCUAAACUGGACAAAUCUAAUCUUAGCAGCACAUCUGUUACAACAAAUGGAACAGGCGGAGACAACAUGACUGUUUUAAACACUGCAGACUGGUUACUGAGUUGCAGCACUCCCUCUUCUGCAACAAUGUCUCUCCUUGCAGUCAAAACAGAACCUAUGAACAGUAAUGAAUCAACAGCAACAACAAGUGGAGAUGGAUCUCUUGACACGUUUACUGGGUCAGUAAUAACAAGUAGUGGCUACAGUCCAAGAUCAUCACAUCAGUAUUCGCCUCAGCUAUAUUCUUCCAAGCCCUAUCCACAUAUUCUUUCUACUCCAGCAGCACAGACAAUGUCUGCCUAUGCCAGUCAGACCCAGUAUUCAGGAAUGCAGCAGCCAGCAGUGUAUACAGCCUAUUCACAGACUGGGCAACCUUACAGUUUACCCACUUACGAUUUGGGUGUAAUGUUGCCAGGCAUCAAGACAGAAAGCGGACUUUCACAAACGCAAUCACCCUUGCAGUCCGGGUGCCUUAGUUACAGCCCAGGGUUCUCCACACCACAGCCAGGCCAGACACCAUAUUCAUACCAAAUGCCAGGUUCUAGUUUUACACCAUCCUCCACUAUUUAUGCAAACAAUUCAGUCUCAAAUUCUACAAACUUCAGUAGUUCACAACAGGAUUAUCCAUCAUAUACAGCUUUUGGCCAAAACCAAUAUCCACAGUAUUAUUCAACAUCAACAUAUGGAACAUAUAUGACCUCAAACAACACCACAGAUGGUACCUCUUCUUCAUCAUCAACGUACCAGCUCCAGGAAUCUCUCCCUGGGCUGACUAGUCAACCAAGCACAGAUCUUCAUCCAGGAGAGUUUGACACUGUACAGAGCCCUUCAACACCAAUCAAAGAUCUGGAUGAAAGGACGUGUAGGAGUUCUGGGUCAAAAUCAAGGGGCAGAGGACGGAAAAAUAACCCAUCACCCCCUCCUGACAGUGACUUGGAGCGCGUAUUUGUGUGGGAUUUGGAUGAAACUAUCAUUGUCUUCCAUUCACUUCUUACAGGAUCUUAUGCACAAAAAUAUGGAAAGGAUCCACCUGUGGCAGUGACUCUUGGACUUCGAAUGGAAGAAAUGAUUUUUAAUCUUGCAGAUACACAUUUAUUUUUCAAUGACUUAGAGGAAUGUGAUCAAGUACAUAUAGAUGACGUUUCUUCAGAUGACAAUGGACAAGACCUAAGUACCUACAGUUUUGCAACUGAUGGCUUCCAUGCAGCUGCAAGUAGUGCAAACCUUUGUCUGCCAACAGGUGUAAGAGGAGGAGUUGACUGGAUGAGGAAGCUGGCAUUCCGUUACAGAAGAGUAAAAGAAUUAUAUAAUACUUACAAGAACAAUGUAGGAGGACUUCUUGGCCCUGCAAAAAGAGAUGCAUGGCUGCAGUUAAGAGCAGAGAUUGAAGCUCUCACUGACUCCUGGCUAACAAAUGCACUUAAAUCACUAUCAAUUAUUAGCACAAGGAGUAACUGUGUAAAUGUUUUGGUAACAACAACCCAACUUAUACCGGCCCUUGCAAAAGUCCUGCUGUAUAGUUUAGGAGGUGCAUUUCCUAUUGAAAAUAUUUACAGUGCAACUAAAAUAGGAAAAGAAAGCUGUUUUGAGCGUAUAGUGUCCAGGUUUGGCACUAACAUAACUUAUGUUGUGAUUGGAGAUGGCCGAGAUGAGGAGCAUGCAGCUAACCAGGUAAUUUCUCUCAACUGUAUCUCAUUUAUCUUCCAGGAAAAGAAAGUUGCUUUGAACGAAUAAUGCAAAGGUUUGGCAGAAAAGUAGUAUAUGUUGUAAUUGGGGAUGGUGUAGAAGAAGAACAGGCAGCAAAAAAGCACAACAUGCCUUUCUGGAGGAUAUCUAGUCACUCGGACCUCCUGGCUCUACACCAAGCGCUGGAAUUAGAGUAUUUGUAACUGUUGUCACAUAGUUGACAAAUACUUUUUAUAUUUCAAAGUACACUGAUAUUUUUUAUGUGUGAUCCAGUGCCUCUGGCUUUUACACAUAUGUAUGGUCUUAAGAAGGAAAAGCAAUAUUUGGAAUAAAAAUUCCAUUGUGAAGAAUUCAGAUCACUGAUUGGUGGAGUUACAAGUUUUAAUUCUACAUAAGGAUGCUCUACAUGGUCUUAUACACUCAACAUUUUUGAUGAUUAAAGAACUAUAAAAGAAGGUUGCUGGUACAUACCAAAUGAGCCCUAGCCAGAGUGAACAGCUUUUGCAAUGGACUCAGACUGGGAAAGCAAUGAUACACGUUUUCUGAUCGACAAGGGUGGUAUUCAACAACAUUCCUCACUAUGGGAUAUAUUCUCACCACUGAGGUUUGAAUCAAACUUUAGUCUACCUAACCCAAAAAAUCUGAAUUGGAAUGUACUCAAACUGUGCAUUGACAAUCCUGUCUAGAUCUGUAAUAUGUGUAAAUUAUUGAUGAAAAUAAUUUACUGUGACUUUAUUAGCAGCUGACUUUGGAAGUGGAUGCAAUUUCUUUCAUUUUGGAGGUGUGUGGGAUGGGGGUAUAUAUUAAUUAUUAUUGUCUCUUUUAUAAGUUUGGCAAACAGAAUGUGCGUAAUGAUGUGUUGUGCCUUAAAAGACAAGAUCUUGUUUGUGUGUUACAAUGUAACAUUGGUUUAAAAUAAUGUAGAUAAAAGAAAUAAACCUUUGUGAUAAUUUUUGACAUGACCAAAUUUCAAAUUCAAAUAAUCAAAAGACAAGGGUGUGAAUCAAAAGCACUUAAAAGUUUGUUGCAGUAAGGGGUGGGGGAAGUAUAAUAAUUGACAGCUGGUGCUUUUAUUUAGUUUCUUAAUAAUUCCACAGAUUGCAGGAGGCAAGUAACUUAAGAGAAUGUCAAGAGGCUGAAAUGAUAUUGGGCACUGUGGGAUUAAUAAUUAAAAUGGCUGAUUACUUGA